ensembl:snoRNA
AUCUUUUUGUAGUUCAUAAGCAUGAUGAUUGGGUUUUCACGUGCAUGCAUGAGAUGUGCCUCCCUCAAUCCUUGUUACGACACUGGCACAUGACCCGUCUGACA